CGAGGUAGCUCAGUGGUAGAGCAGCUGAUUCGUAAUCAGCAGGUCGUCGGUUCAAGUCCGAUUCUCG
rnacentral:tRNA from 1 species